CCUCCGGAUGGUUCCUCCUCGGCGACCUUGACUUCCACCUCGAGCCGUAGCUCGACCUUGCUGUGUCGGCCUACUCGAUUCUAUGGUGGUCUGAUGGUGUGGUGUGGUGUUGCUGCUGCCCGCUGACCGUCGCACCAUGGUGCGGUCGGCCGACCUCUGCUUCGACGACCUCGCAGCCUCCCUCGACUACGGCUUCGCCUGCACGCCCACGGCAAAACCUAGCCCGCCGUUGGCUUGGUCGCCGCCGGCAUGGUGCCCGCGCCGUCGCGUCUUCAGCUUCCUCCUCCUCGACGCCGGCGGAAUUGUGCCGCGGCCUCAACCCCGGCAUCGACUACAUUAUCUACUACCCCUACUGCGAUGCAUGCUAGUGUGGCCUAGUUGCUGGAUCUAGAUGAUCCAUGUGUAUGUGGUUGUGCAAAGUGAGUACCUUGCUAGUUUCGUGGACCUGGUUUGCUUGCUGGCUUCACUGAGAGUCUCUCUCUUUCUACUAUUCACUGGUAAGAACAGAAGUAUGCUUGCUCUAGCCAAUGAUACAUAAAUUGAGGCACAGAUUGAAAUAAGCACAGAUACUAUGGUGCCUGAAAUUCUCUAUGAUGAAUCUUGCAUAGCACCUACGUGCAGAUCUGAGAGGAAUCACUUCUCAUGAAAACUGAUGAUUUAUAGUUUGAUCUUAGUCUAUUUUAUUGCUUGCAAAUACUGCCCAUGUGCUAUCUUUUAAGAUUUGAUACUCUCUGUGGUGCCUCUUAAGAGUGUGCACAGGGAUAUUUCUUACUUAGCAAGAUUAGUGUUGUGGGUAGUUUUGUAGGGUGAUUUAUUAGACUUGGAUCAUAACUAUGAUCAGAUGAUGUUAAAAUCAUCACAAACAAUUCAUGUUUGAUAAGCUAUUUGAUCUGGAUGAUAUGAUGCCUUUUUGGGAAUAGAUCUUGUAUGCUCUUAUCCUGGAUAGGAUGUAUACCUGAUUCCAUCUCCUGGAUAAAUUGAUUAUGGAUCUGAAGUAAUUCUUGUUCUUGUUGCUCUUCACCUCCUUGAGUUGAGCGUGCUCCUCCUGGCUCCUGCUAUGUCGCCACAAUCAUUUUUCUUGUUCUAGUUUGGGUUUGAUGAUGAGCUACUACUACUCUGUUUUGUUCUCAGAUAGAUCUAUACGGUUUUGGAUGAAGAAUAGUUGCUUUUCCUGGGUGUUCUUAGGCUGGUCGAUGGGUGUGAGAAGAAUUGUUGUGCUUAGCAACUGUUUGGGUCUGCAAGUAACUUGCUUUUAUAUGGUGGCCUGAUGUUGCCCUUUGGUUGACAACACAACCAUGCAUGGACAGCACAUCCAUGCAGACCUGUGUGUGUGAUGUGUGCUUGCUAGGCUGUCAAUGCUGGCCUGGUUCGGCUCCCCUUGUGGAUGAGCAUGCCUGAGAAAAGAUCUACCUCUAUUUUAACCUUUAAUCUUUGAUCCAUUGCCAGUCGGCAAUACCAUUUUACUUUGUUGUGCAGGUUUCCCAAUUGAUAAGAAAAGGAUGAUCAAGACUUAGUUUGGGCUUUUAUUUUUCCUUUUUCAGAACAUGUAAUUAUUUUUGUAAUAUUAUUUUAUUCAUUUAUAAAGACAUUGUAUUAUUGUGUGAAUAUCAAUAAAGAAUUUUGUUUCCUUGUUGUAUAA